CUCCAGAUCGCCUAGUGGUUAAGGCUAUGGAUCACCAAUCCGGAGAUGGCGGGUUCGAUUCCCGUUCCGGUCG
rfam:Aedes albopictus isolate Foshan contig15506, whole genome shotgun sequence.